CUUAACAUUAAGCGCUUUUUUCAAUACUAAAAUCACUCCGCGUCAGUGACAGUGAGUCCAAAAUGAGGGUCCCAAUUUCUCUGUCCAACCCCUCAGAGCUGAGUGCCAAAAAGCGGCUGCAAACUGCAAAGCACCUUCGUUUUUCCUUAUAAUUAACAAGGCCACACACUUAUUACUAGACAAAAACUAGUAUAACCUUCUCUUUCUUUCUCUCUUUCUUGCUUCAUUUUCUCAUACUUUCUUGCAUUUUCUCUUCCUGUAAAGAAAAGAAAGGUUCUCGAGACAAAGAAAUACAUAACCAUCUGCUUUCUUUCUUUGUCUUUCUCUCUUUUUUCUUCAUUCUGUGUGCUUUCUCUCUCUAGAUAAAGAAGCAUAGAAUAAAGUGUGCUUAGAGAGAGAAUAAGGGAAGGGGAAAAAAGGCCAUUGUUUUGGGAGGUCAUCGUUCUUGAGGUCAUGAAGAAGCUUGCAAUGUGCAAUAAUGUGUUAGUGGUUUUUUGGUUGUUGGGUUUAUGGGUUUGCUCUGUUAGUGCCUCUGUGUCUUAUGACUCUAAGGCUAUCACCAUUAAUGGCCAGAGAAGGAUCCUCAUUUCUGGAUCCAUUCACUACCCAAGAAGCUCACCUGAGAUGUGGCCAGAUCUUAUACAAAAGGCAAAGGAAGGAGGAUUGGAUGUGAUUCAGACUUAUGUUUUUUGGAAUGGCCAUGAACCUUCGCCUGGAAAAUAUUAUUUCGAGGGGAACUAUGAUUUGAUCAAGUUUGUCAAGCUGGUGAAGCAAGCAGGUCUUUAUCUUCAUCUCAGGAUUGGACCUUAUGUCUGUGCUGAAUGGAACUUUGGGGGUCUCCCUGUUUGGCUCAAGUACAUUCCAGGCAUCAAUUUCAGAACAGAUAAUGGCCCUUUCAAGGCUCAAAUGCAAAAAUUCACUACAAAGAUUGUCAACAUGAUGAAAGCAGAAGGGCUAUUUGAAUCUCAAGGUGGUCCAAUAAUUUUAUCCCAGAUUGAGAAUGAAUAUGGACCCAUGGAAUAUGAACUUGGUGCACCUGGUCAAGCUUACACCAAAUGGGCAGCAAAUAUGGCUGUAGGUCUUGGCACUGGAGUCCCAUGGGUCAUGUGCAAGCAAGAUGAUGCCCCGGAUCCUGUUGUAAGUUAUCAGCAGAUCUAUUUUUCCUUUUAGCAUCAUCUGUUUACAUUUUCUUUUCAUGUUCCAUAUCUAAUUCUUUAUGGUCCUCAUGUUAUGUCUCCCUCACUUCCUUGGUGUGGUUGUUAGUUAACAGGCCCUUUUGUUGGUCAUGGAUGAAAUGAAUUAUUAUUCCUCAUAGCACAUGGCUCUGUUUUGCAGCAUCUCAGUCCCUCCUGUAGCAGAUUGUCUUUUUUUAAUCCUCUCUGGUCAUUGAGGGUUUUUUUGAUGAUAGAAUUGAUGACCAUGUCUCAUUGUUAAUAAUAAUCACCACCCAGUUCAACUCUCAAAGUUAGUGGGUGUUUAUAAAUAAUACUUGUGCCUUUUCUUUUCUUGGAGGAACACGAGAAACAAUGUAUUUUAAAUCCAGCUUUUUGGAAUCAAAUAUUUUCAGUUUAACUUUUUGUAUUUGGGAAUCAUGUGGUCUUAUCAUUGGGUUAUUUUACCAAGUUCUUUCAACUUAUGCUUUGAGUGGCUCCUAACAUUUUAUUAAUAUGCUGCUAUCUCAAUAGAUUAACACCUGCAAUGGUUUCUAUUGUGACUAUUUCUCUCCAAACAAGCCAUACAAACCAAAGAUGUGGACUGAAGCCUGGACUGGCUGGUAUACUGAAUUUGGUGGUGCAGUUCCUUACAGACCAGCUGAAGACUUGGCGUUUUCAGUUGCAAGGUUUAUACAGAAGGGAGGAUCAUUCAUAAAUUACUAUAUGUAUCAUGGGGGAACAAAUUUUGGAAGAACUGCUGGUGGUCCUUUCAUUGCCACA
rnacentral:misc_RNA from 1 species